UUCAUAAGACUUUCUCCAUGAUCUCUGGAGACACAAAACUGAUGCUGAAUCUAGAUGUUCAGUACAAUCUGUGUCCAACACUGAGUCAUAGCACUCACUCAUUCAAUAAUCCACUCUUCCCUAAAAUAUCUUCAGAGUCAGAAUCAACACUGCAGUUUGUCCUCAGUACACAAUAUUAUCUGAACAGUUCUGAACUGUUACUCAGAUUCCUGUAGCUACUUAUCUAAGUCCAGAUGAUCUACUGAACUCUAUGGUGCUGUCUGUCUCUACAGUUUAACCCACACUGACUCAUCAUACAUCACGCAUGGAGAAACACACUCAGGAUACACCUGCUGGUCCUCACGCUGCCAGUUUAACUUUAUGUAAAUGAUGAUGUUCUUCUGGGAAAUGUAGAGGGAGAUGUUCUGCAUGUCACUGAUUUAUUUCAUCUACAGAAAUCGUAUCAGAAACGACUUUGAGAUCAGCUGAUUAAAAAGAGUCUUUGUAAGAAAAGGAUGUGUAUCAGAGUGUUGAUGGUGUUAAUAAUGACAGGAAGCACGUCCCUGCAGUCUCUCCUUUAUCUGCUCCUCACGCUGAUCAUCUCUUCACUCAGCACCAGAGUCCUAUCACACACGGACACCAUGCUGCCAGCGCUCUGCUCUCUCUUCACUGCUCUCUCAUGUGUCAGUGGUGUGACUGUGGUGACGCAGAAGCCUCCUGUUCUCACACUGACUCAGGGACAGACGGCCACCAUGGACUGUAAUCUGGGGACUGUUACUAAUUAUGAGGCAGGCUUUUAUAAACAGGUUCCAGGAGGAGUUCCUCAGUAUGUCAUUAGGAAUUAUCAUGGCUGGAGCUCUCCUCAAUAUGGGUCUGGUUUCUCGUCUUCUAAAUUCACAUCAUCACACUCCUCUCAAUCAGAUUAUAAAUUAAUAAUCAGUAAUGUAGAGGUGGGAGAUUCAGCAGUGUAUUACUGUGGCACAUGGGACAGCUCUGCUAAAGAGUACGUAUCACAGUGAUGUUCACCAUGACAAAAACCUCCUCACUGCUCACACUCACUUCUGCUUUCACACAACACGAGAAA